rnacentral:lncRNA from 1 species
GUGUUCACUUGCAUAAAAAUCACAGGGAGAAACGCUCGUUGCUCCCGCCGCUGACUGGGGCCAGGUCUACGAGGCUGACGUCUCCCCUUGCCCAGCGUGGCAAAGGGCUGCUUUCUCACUGGGUGACAUUUGUUGCACCCGAGAGGGGUGGCACUGAGCAAUUGGCAUCCCCUUGGUGGCCUUGCAGAGCCGGUGGGACCGGUGCUUGUAGGAGAUGGCAGUGGGGGAAGCUGGGCACCUCUGGAAAAGGAAAGGCUGCGGGCAAUUGCCAGGCGCUGCAGUGCAAGGCUGGGGAAUGGGAGCAGUGCCCGGCUCUGGGCUGGUGCUAGAAGGGUCCGGGGGGGUCCCAGGCAGCAGCUGCUGCAGGGGCUGGGGGAGUUCCCUGCGGGCUCAGCCGGUUGCUUUUCUAAUUCCACCCACUGGCAGCCAGGCAUGGGCACCGGAGAUGUCUUGUGAAGAAGGAUGGAUGAGGCCCUGUGAUCCACCUGUGAAGCACAGCAGAUUUCUUCUGAUUUUGUAGACAAGCAGCCCUGGCUGUCACGUAUUCCUGUGCUGGAGAAAAAGCUUUUAAUAUCCAUGCAGUGAGCAUUGCAGAGGGCAUGUACACGCCUGGAGAAGACCGAGAUUUGGACUCUGGAAAGCUCUGCACCCACUUCAUGCCAAUGCUGACAUCCUCUGGGUACCAGCACACUCACAGAGCAUUGCCUGGAAAAGAACACAACUAUGGGGCCCCUGAAUCUUGCUUUUGCUCAUAUCUAUUUGCACACUGUGCAGAGCUGCCUGGGAAUCAGCACGUCCUGCGAAGGGCGUAUCGUCUACUGGGGCUAAAGUGUUGGAGGAACAAAGUUGGAAGGUGGGAAUCAAACCAAGAUGAUUAACUCCCUGCUUAAUGGCCCCAACACAAAACCUGACUACUGCCAGCUUGGUGAGGUCUCAUUGCAGGGACUCUGAUGAUGCCUGGCCAGGACCAGACCACCCAGUGCCACCCUGGGGGUCCCUGCUGGGAAUUAAAAGCCUUGGAGGGAUGGUGGCCACAGCCCAGCACUGCUGACCCAAGAGGCUGCUCUGCAUUAACCCCAGAGCAUUGCUGACCAGAGAUGCUUUUAUUCUUGCCUUACGAGUUCUGCUUCUCAAUAAAAGCAAAACGCAAUUUAUGAGAGCA